UGAACGCUGGCGGUAUGCCUAACACAUGCAAGUCGUACGAGAGUUUUUAACUCAAGUGGCGGACGGGUGAGUAACACGUGAGAAUCUGCCUUUAGGAGGGGGACAACAACUGGAAACGGUUGCUAAUACCCCAUAUGCUUUCGAGUGAAAUGAAUUUAUUCGCCUAAAGAGGAGCUCGCGGUUGAUUAGCUUGUUGGUAGAGUAAUAGCCUACCAAGGCGACGAUCAGUAUCUGGUUUGAGAGGACGAUCAGACACACUGGAACUGAGACACGGUCCAGACUCCUACGGGAGGCAGCAGUGGGGAAUUUUCCGCAAUGGGCGAAAGCCUGACGGAGCAAUACCGCGUGAGGGAAGACGGCCUAUGGGUUGUAAACCUCUUUUCUCAGGGAGGAAUUCAAUGACGUGUACCUGAGGAAUAAGCAUCGGCUAACUCC
rnacentral:rRNA from 1 species